rnacentral:tRNA from 2 species
GGGGGCGGAUCGGGACUGGUGUUCCGUCUGGUCUUCAAAACCAGUGCGCCCGGCUGGAACCCGGGUGGGUGGGUUCGAUUCCCACACGCCCCCGCCA